UACGAAGGAUCCAAGCGUUGUCCGGAUUUACUGGGCUUAAAGGGUGCGUAGGCGGCCUUUUAAGUCAGUGGUGAAAGCCUGUAGCUUAACUAUAGAAUUGCCAUUGAAACUGAAAGUCUCGAGUGUGGUUGAGGUAACUGGAAUAUAUCAUGUAGCGGUGAAAUGCUUAGAUAUGAUAUAGAACACCAAUUGCGAAGGCAGGUUACUGAGCCACAACUGACGCUGAGGCACGAAAGCGUGGGGAUCAAACAGG
rnacentral:rRNA from 1 species